rnacentral:rRNA from 1 species
UACGUAGGGUGCGAGCGUUGUCCGGAAUUAUUGGGCGUAAAGAGCUCGUAGGCGGUGUGUCACGUCGUUCGUGAAAACCUGCAGCUUAACUGUGGGCGUGCGGUCGAUACGGGCAUCACUGGAGUUCGGCAGGGGAGACUGGAAUUCCUGGUGUAGCGGUGAAAUGCGCAGAUAUCAGGAGGAACACCGGUGGCGAAGGCGGUUCUCUAGUACGGUACUGACGCUGAGACGCGAAAGCGUGGGGAGCGAACAGG